UACAGAGGGUGCAAGCGUUAAUCGGAAUUACUGGGCGUAAAGCGAGCGUAGUCGGUUAUUUAAGUCGGGCGUGAAAGCCCCGGGCUCAACCUGGGAAUUGCGUUCGAUACUGAAUAGCUAGAGUUCGGCAGAGGGAAGCGGAAUUUCGGGUGUAGCGGUGAAAUUCGUAGAUAUCAGGAGGAACACCGGUGGCGAAGGCGGCUUCUGGACACUUACUGACGCUGAGACGCGAAAGCGUGGGGAGCAAACAGG
rnacentral:rRNA from 1 species